GAUGAACGCUAGCUACAGGCUUAACACAUGCAAGUCGAGGGGCAGCAGGGAUUUAGCUUGCUAAAUUCGCUGGCGACCGGCGCACGGGUGCGUAACGCGUAUCCAACUUUCCCGUUACUCUCGGAUAGCCUUCCGAAAGGGAGAUUAAUACGAGAUGGUGUUCUAAUUCCGCAUGUUAUUAGAACUAAAGAUUCAUCGGUAACGGAUAGGGAUGCGUGACAUUAGAUAGUUGGCGGGGUAACGGCCCACCAAGUCUACGAUGUCUAGGGGGUUCUGAGAGGAAGGUCCCCCACACUGGAACUGAGACACGGUCCAGACUCCUACGGGAGGCAGCAGUGAGGAAUAUUGGUCAAUGGCCGCGAGGCUGACCAGCCAAGUAGCGUGAAGGAUGAAGGUUCUAUGGAUUGUAAACUUCUUUAUACGGGAAUAACAUCACCUACGUGUAGGUGCCUGCAUGUACCGUAUGAAUAAGCAUCGGCUAACUCCGUGCCAGCAG
rnacentral:rRNA from 1 species